rnacentral:snRNA from 1 species
AUACUUACCUGGACGGGGUCAAUGGGUGAUCAAUAAGAUCCAUGGCCUAGGUUGGUGACCUUCAUUGCACUUUGGAGGGGUGCCCACCUAAGGUCGGCCCAAGUGGUCGAGCCUACGUCAUAAUUUGUGGUAGAGGGGGCCUGCGUUCGCGCGGCCCCUGC